CGGGGGGGCAAGCGUUGUUCGGAAUUACUGGGCGUAAAGGGCUCGUAGGUGGCCAACUAAGUCAGACGUGAAAUCCCUCGGCUUAACCGGGGAACUGCGUCUGAUACUGGAUGGCUUGAGUUUGGGAGAGGGAUGCGGAAUUCCAGGUGUAGCGGUGAAAUGCGUAGAUAUCUGGAGGAACACCGGUGGCGAAGGCGGCAUCCUGGACCAAUACUGACGCUGAGGAGCGAAAGCCAGGGGAGCAAACGGGAUUAGAUACCCCGGUAGUCCUGGCCCUAAACGAUGAAUGCUUGGUGUGGCGGGUAUCGAUCCCUGCCGUGCCGAAGCUAACGCAUGAAGCAUUCCGCCUGGGGAGUACGGUCGCAAGGCUG
rnacentral:rRNA from 1 species